rnacentral:rRNA from 1 species
GUAAUGGUGGGAACUCAAGGGAGACUGCCGGUGAUAAACCGGAGGAAGGUGGGGAUGACGUCAAGUCAUCAUGGCCCUUACGGCCAGGGCUACACACGUGCUACAAUGGCGCGUACAGAGGGCUGCAAGCUAGCGAUAGUGAGCGAAUCCCAAAAAGCGCGUCGUAGUCCGGAUUGGAGUCUGCAACUCGACUCCAUGAAGUCGGA